CCAUAUCUCGUCCGAUCAUCGAAGUUAAGCAACGUUGGGCCUGUUCAGUACCUAGAUGAGUAACCGCUUGGGCAUAACAGGUGCUGUUA